rnacentral:misc_RNA from 1 species
ACUUGGUUCGAUAUGCUGGUUCGAUACACGACAAUAAAAUUGUUUUCAUGGGUGGACAACAAACUCCUUUGACGUAAGGACAAUAAUACAGAAAUCAUAGCUUUAAUAAUUUAGCAUUUUUAGGACUUCUUGAUUUUUUUCUGUUUGAAAAUGACAUGUUUUCUAAGCGAUGCUGUAUGCACUCGUCACGAAUUGAACCAGAAACCUACUCGCGUGGAUAGCACCAUUGAACCAUGUUGAUGCGUUGUCUGCGUGUUAUCCAAAGUACGAGUAAGCAUUGAAACUUGUAUGGGUAAAGGAAAACUUACAAAAUUAUGGCAGANUCAGAAGAAACGUUGUUGAAAAAUGAUGUCGCCAUUAUCGAAAGAAACGAUUUGAUCCCNCAACGGCAGGUCAUGAAAAGAGCUCGAAACGUGAACGGUUUCGAAGAAAAGCCGACAGAUGAGAANCGCAAAAAAGAGACAUUUUCUGAUGAUGUGGACGAAAUACAGCUGAGAGACAAGUUACUGGAUGAAAUAUCUUCAAAUAAAUUGUGUUUGGAUUCUGACAGCAUGAUUCACGAUGUUACUGAAUUUGAACAUGGCGGCAGUAAUGAAAGUCAACAAGCACAGAAUCGAAAGAUUAUCAAGUUGGAAGGGGUUUUGCCAAACCUNGCACUACCGGAUGGAUGGAUAGCUCUCAACCAUAGGAGUGGUGGAAUUGUCUAUCUUCAUCGAUCAACAAGAGUUUGUACCUGGGGACGACCAUAUUACAUCGGUAAAGGAAGUGUCAGGAAACAUGAUGUUCCUGUUGCUGCAAUUCCUUGCCUGCAUCAAGCAAAAGCACUUGCAAACAAAUCACAAAAAACAAACAAACCUUCAAAUGAGAUCCCACUUGAUGUUGAUCACCAGCCUGGCCAGGGUCAGGGUUUAUCAAUUCUUAACUUUCUNAAUACUGCAGGGUCUAUUGAAGGUGAAACACANCUUGNGGCUGCUCAUUAUGAAGCAUUUCAAAGCCAUAAACCAACUAUUGAAAAAGCUGCCGAUGGAAAUGUUAAAUCUGGUCUUUCAAUGGAAGUAGUUAAUGAUUAUAAUAAAGAAGAAAUAUGCAACACUUUUGAAUCAAAUUCAUUACAAGAAAAUGGUAAUUAUCAUAUUUUUAAAAAGCUGAAUAUAGUUAAUGAAGAUAGCAGUGAGAAAAACCAAGUUUAUUGCACUGUGAAGAAUGAAAAUGAAGAUGUCGAUGAUUGUCAAGUCAAGAAUGUAGAUGGUGGUCAUGGUGUUAGUUAUCGUACAAGUAAUAUAUGUCCNUGUGAAGAUAGAUAUGAUAAUAUAUUUCAUCCUAAGGAUGGACUUGAUGUUGUNAAUGAGACACUUAACUAUGGAGGAAAGGAACUAAAGAAAGAUGAUGAAAUGAAUUCUGCAAGUAGUAAUGUUCCCAUUCCCAGCAUCGAGCUGAUGUCUCCAGAACAUUUGCAAAGCAUAAACUUGAAAAGCACUCAAAGUGAUCAAGUUAAUCAUGAAAAUUUAAAAAUUCCAAGUUUACAAAGUGUUAGCCUCAAAGGCAGUAGAAAAGNAAUACAUGAAAACAAAGAAAUAUUUUACAAUGGAACCAGUGCAGAGGAUGAACAUUCUCUAGAUGCGCAGACAACAUCUGAUGAUAAUUUUAAAAAGAACCCGAACUUNCCAAAAACUACCCAUCAAACUUCAGGAAUCGAACUUAUAGAUGCUGAAGAGCUGAGCUCUUACCUUGGCAAGUUGUUUGAUUUCAAAAAGAUUACAAUAGACCAAGAAAAGAAUGUAGUGAAGCCCUCAGAGGCAGUCAUGGAAGAAGCUGAUCCAGUUUUGUCAGUACUAGAAUGCCUACCUUACUGCGUCAAGGGUAAAANUGCCAAAGAAAAUAAAGAAUGGGUUUUAAAUCCAGGUGGAAAAACNCCAGUAGCGAUAUUGCAUGAGUAUUCCCAAGCUGUUCUUAAAGAAAAACCUGUUUAUGUCUCUACUGAGUGUGAAAAUUCUUCCACUCCUUUCAUGGCUGAGGUUCAGAUCAACGGGAUUACNCACGGCAGUGGUAUGGCAUCCACUAAAAAGCAAGCCAAACAGAUCGCNGCAGAAGUCGCAUUGGAAGUGUUGCUGCCUCAUGCCUUUCAUAAAAUACGAGAUUAUGUCAUCUCUAGAGAGGAAUUAGAGUGUUUUGAUAAGUUGAAAAUCGACAAUCCUAAUAUCCACGAGCUGUCAAUUAAAUCUGGUCUUCCUAGNCCUUCACAGGUUUUACAAGAAUGUUUGAAAAGAAAUCAAGGUGUUUGCUCAUCUACUAUCCACUUCAAGAUGAUUCCCGGUCAAAAUCAAGAACACACAUUUAUAAUAUCAUGUGGAAAACACCAAGCAGAGGGGCCAUGCAAGAAUAAGAGNAUUGGAAAGCAGGUGGCAUCUCAGGCCCUGCUUAUGAAACUACACCCACAUAUAUCAACAUGGGGAUCGCUGUUGAGGAUUUACUGCGAUAGACCCUCUUCUAUUGUGAAAAAGUAUAAGACGCCAGACUAUGAUAGUUUAUCAAACUGCAUUUCUACACCUGAUGUCCCGAGAGGAAAACUUCUACUCGCUCGAUUGAAAGAAGAAAUGCUGAAAAUUGCUGAUGAUGUAAAUCAAGAAUCGAAGUAUUCUAGAUCAAGUGACGAUACUGGCUCAAUUAGCACUGUCGAUAUUUAAACUAUUUCACAACAAUGCUCUAUUUAAAACGAAUUUUUAGAAUCACGUCAAUGUACGUAAUAAUAAUUAGCUAGUAAAUUCUGCGUUAAUUACUCUUUUUAAUCAAUUAAAUUCUUCAAUUAAUUAUAAAUUACGGCAUGUAGGUAGAUAACAUAUUACUACAGAAUCAAAUGGAAUCAAAUGCAUGCAUUUUACUAAAAAUGGUGGUAAUUCCACAGAACUAAUAAAUAAUUUUUUAUGUCUAACGCAUUUGAUUGAUAUCCAUUCCUUCACAAAUGUCGUUNGCUUACUAAAAAGGUCAAAGCUGAGAUGUUUCCUAUUCGAUCACUAAUUUUAUUUUACGCCUAUGCAUUUAGUCCAAAUAUAUUCAACGAUCACAGAACGCACACAUGGGCUUCCUGUGGCAAUAUGAAUAAUGAUAGCAAUCAGUGGCGGAUCCAGGGGGGUUCCAUGGGUUCCUAGGAACCCUCCUCGAGCAUAAAGAAUAAAAAUAAAAUGAAUGAUAAAUGAAAUAAAAUGAAAACGCAUCGUACACAAUUGCAUCCGAGAAGAAUGAACGUGGCUUAUAUCUUACAAUAGGUAAGAGGCUUUAUAUUACACUUUUACCACAUGGCUGCAAUGUACGCACACACUGAACUGUAAAGCGUUUUGAGACUUAAGAGAUGCNCUAUCUAUAACUGCAUUCACGUUACAUUUGCUACAGUUUGAGAGGCACAGUAAAAGUGUUCGUUUUAGGAAAAUGCGAAAGCAAAUUGGAAGCCUCCUUUAAAAAAUCCUGUAUCCGCCACUGGCAAUAGUCAUUUCUAGCCUAAGGCAGUCAUCAGGGGUGUUUGGAAAUUUAUGAACAAGAUAUAUACAUGUCUUCCACGUGCAGAUCGAGGCUUGCGAUAAGUGGGUACGUAUGCAUGUUUUUUUAGCUGCAGGGAAAAUGAAUUUUGUACAUUGUAUUUAUAAACUACUCUUUAAAAAGGCUGUCUUCACAUGAUUUAUAUCUUUGAUGAUUAGUUUUGGUGUACGCUAAAGAUCAAUUGGUGUGUCGGGGUGUGCUGGAAUAGUCGCAUGCCUGUAAAUUGGUAAAAGUAAUGGUGAAGCUGCUUUGAUGUCACAUUCAUGGGUUUAUACUUUUUUCCCUCACAUCCUAAUUAAUUUGAUGAUCAAACUGCCUGAAUGUAUAGAAAAUCUGCAUGUAAAAGAGGCAAACUACUUCAAUACGCUACACACGUAGUCAAGAGAGUAAAAUGCAACAUCGAAACAAACGUUGGUUAGCACUAGUUAACAUCAUGGUAGAUAUGAUGGUGUCACUUUAACAGAAUAUUUCUCAUUUUUUCUAUAUUGGUCAUAAUAUGUACUAGCUAGUGUACCACAAAUUUGUCUGGCACAAUUAUAUCAAUAUGAAGGAAAUAAAUUGANAAGAAGCA